AACCCUUAACGAAGGAUUAUAUUUGAAUAAGGUUACUACAUGUAAGUGAAAUUUGUAUUUAUUUGUAACUGUAUGUAACACCUGGAGUGGCCCUGUCCUCUCACCCUGUUUAACCGUCCCGUAUCCUAAAGAGUCCCGUAAAGUGUACCGUUCCUCUACUUCGCACAAUGGCUGGUAGUGCUCUACUGAUAAAGGACGCGUUAUAAGCACAGAGAGAAGUUCCGACGUGACACAUGGUCACGUCUACAUUCAGUCAAAUAGUUUCAGUUAUAUACUGCCCCGGGUCAAGUGGGCCACGCCCGACGAAAAGGUAGAAUAUAACAGUAGUCUUGGCGCAAUAGGGGAUGGAGAAUUUGGCUUGAUUUCUAGUUUAUUCGUGUAAUGUGUGAUGGUUUAUGGGAAAUGGAAUGAAGCAGAGCUGUCCAACAACACGUAACUGCAAAGAGCUCCGAGUUCCGCUGCACCCUCUACUCCAUACACAGACUGCUGUCCAAUUAUGUUUAUUAAUCUGUAGUGAAUGUCUAUUGGUUGAACAGCAGAAUUAGAACCUCUUCCUGUUUUCCCCUUUCUCUGUUCCACUUGGAAACUUGUUGUUUCGCAGUGCUUUUUAAAUCCUGUAGUAUUCUACUAAUACGCUUAGUAUCGAUCACAGCCGAUGAAUACAGAUUCAAGUGGUUUAUUAUGAAGUUACACACUUUUUCGGUUUGUAGUAUUUUUUUAGACUCCUAAUCUAUUGUCAUAAUUCCAUACACGAGGCGAUCAGUGUUGCACAUUAACAAUUUACAAUCACUUAUUGGCAUUAGCAAUAAACCAAAACACUACAU